rnacentral:rRNA from 1 species
AUUGAACGCUGGCGGCAGGCCUAACACAUGCAAGUCGAACGAGUGGCGGACGGGUGCGUAAUGUCUGGGAAACUGCCUGAUGGAUGGGGAUAACUCCUGGAAACGGUCGCUAAUACCGCAUACCCUCAGAUGUGCCCAGAUGGGAUUAGCUAGUUGGUGGGGUAACGGCGCACCAAGGCGACGAUCACUCGCUGGUCUGAGAGGAUGACCAGCCACACUGGAACUGAGACACGGUCUAGACUCCUACGGGAGGAAGCAGUGGGGAAUAUUGCACAAUGGGGGCAAGUCUGAUGCAGCCAUGCCGCGUGUAUGAAGAAGGCCUUCGGGUUGUAAAGGACAUUCAGCGGGGAGGCGUUACACGCAGAAGAAGCACCGGAUAACUCCGUGCCAGCCGCCGCGGUAAUUC